rnacentral:lncRNA from 1 species
AAAACUAUCGAUACACAACCGAUAGGACAAAAUUGCUUUGCUAUAUUUAUUGACAUUACUAAAACAUUAAAAACAAAAUCUAUACCGUACUUAAUAGUCCAAAGUUCACGUUGAGGCUGUUCCUAUUUCAAUGAAAUAAGUAAGAAUCGAGCUGCUCAGUCCAGGCAGUCGGCCAGUCAACGUGCAGAAAACCCAUUCCACCUGAUAUUUCAUCAGAAUGGGCAAAGAUUACUACCAGAUAUUGGGCAUAAACAGAAAUGCAACCAAAGAAGAGAUCAAAAAGGGCUACAGGCGGAUGGCGCUCAAAUACCAUCCGGAUAAGAACGACCACCCCCAGGCCGAGGCACAGUUUCAGGAGGUUGCGGCCGCCUUUGAGGUGCUGUCGAACAAGGAAAAACGAGACAUUUACGAUCAAUACGGAGAAGAGGGUCUCAAGUGUGGCGAUGAGCCGCAGACAUUUGCCCAGCCCACGCCAGAUAUGGUGCCCUUUAUGUGUGCGGUAGGCGGCACCGUCCUAUUUGCUUUUGCAGCAUAUAAAACAUUUCAAUUUUUCUCGAAAAAGAAAAACCCAAACGUAGAUAAAGACGAAUCCUCCUCAUCUGAUUAAAACUAUUGUAAUUUUAUUAAACGUACUUUCCGGUGUUAUUGUUAUUAAGUUAUUCAUAUAAAAAUAAACAAUUGAGUGUCAUCGAUAUUGGUCCCAAAACGAUAGACAAAAAUGGUGUCAACUCUAGAAACCAACCAGUGCAUUAUUGUGCACAAGAACUGAAAUAAGAAUUAAUAAGAUAGGCGUGGCUGUUUUAGCUAGACUCAAUAACUUUUUUGAUCAGACGAACUGAACAACGAACCCGGUGUACGUUGCAGUAUAGUAUGCGUACAAUUAGUUGAAAUAACCUAUAUCCAAACAUUAAAUUAUUUGUAAUACUUUAUUUUGGGAUAAAAUGACUGACUACCAAGAUCACUACAACAUAUUGGAAGUGAAAAAUAAGACCGAAAUGGCGAUGCCCAGACCAAGGCAUGAUGACGGCUUUAGGUCGAAUCCGUCUUAUUCCCACAAUACCUUCAACGGGAAACCGGAGACCCCAAAACGGAAAAUUACUGUAAUCAUUCUGGUCUCCAUGGUUAUUGCAUAUUUGACCAAUAAUAUGAUUAAGACCAGAGAAGCGGCUCGGGCAGCGGAGAUGGUUUUCGUCGCCAGUUCAGAAGACAAGGUUGUGGCACCGCUUGCAGCAGGAGAGGCCCCUAAAAUGGAUUAUCCGUCGUCGUCCUCACUAUCAUAAGCUACUAGUGCAGUAGCUGGCGCCACUGCACGUGGGAUAUGCCAGAUCUGGAAAUGGACUUCUUCUGUCCCAUCAGCUGCCAGUGCUGUAGCUGGCGCCACUGCUGGAGGGAUAUCCAAUAUCUGGAAGUGGGUCGCAGGAUCACUUAGUGCAGAUUCUUCAGCUACUUCUUCUGUCGCAUCAGCUGCCAGUGCUGUAGCUGGCGCCACUGCUGGAGGGAUAUCCAAUAUCUGGAAGUGGAUCGCAGGAUCACUUAGUGCAGAUUCUUCAGCUACUUCUUCUGUCGCAUCAGCUGCCAGCGCUGUAGCUGGCGCCACUGCUGGAGGGAUAUCCAAUAUCUGGAAGUGGGUCGCAGGAUCACCAAAUGCAGAUUCUUCAGCUACUUCUUCUGUCGCAUCAGCUGCCAGCGCUGUAGCUGGCGCCACUGCUGGAGGGAUAUCCAAUAUCUGGAAGUGGGUCGCAGGAUCACCAAAUGCAGAUUCUUCAGCUACUUCUUCUGUCGCAUCAGCUGCCAGUGCUGUAGCUGGCGCCACUGCUGGAGGGAUAUCCAAUAUCUGGAAGUGGGUCGCAGGAUCACCAAAUGCAGAUUCUUCAGCUACUUCUUCUGUCGCAUCAGCUGCCAGUGCUGUAGCUGGCGACACUGCUGGAGGGGUAUCCAAGAUAUGGAAGUGGGCGCGAUCACCCUUAAAAUGUUCAACUGUACUUCAGUAUAAAACACAAAAUAUUCCCACGAAAAUACGUCCAAGAAUUGUUUGCCCUGUUUACCCCAUAUAAUUUAUCUUAGUCCCAUGAUCACCAUUAUUCUCUUGUAUGGCCUUAGCCGAGCUGGCUCUGGUAUAAGAAAAAGCACGCCUACGCGACUUGAAAAAUCAUCAACAGCGAUCAAAACUACAAACAAAACAAGGAAAAUCUCAAAAAAUCAGAACACAAAAUGCCUUGUACCAAUAAGGAAUCGAAACCCGAAAAUGGGAAAGUGCUGUUAUAAGGGUUUUUGCAUACUUGAGCUAUAAAAGGGUUCAGAACCAACAGCUCCAAAGCUAGCGCCCAUGCUGGGAGGGAUAUCCAAGAUCUGGAAAUCGGCCUAUGAUUCUAUUCAUUUUUAAAAAGCUUUGAAAGCUCAAAGGAUGAAAAAGUGAUGUCAUCGAGGAAUACAACCUAAUUUUAUCUAGUGGAAAAACGUUCAAAAGUUUAAAUUUUGUAGCACAGUGUAAUUUGAACAAUAAUCGCAGCUCGACCAAUAGAUCUGUUCUAUAUUCCGAGAGGUUACCUAGCAAACAGAGAGUAAUAUAUGAAGUUAAAAUAUAAAUGACCGUGCUUCUAAACGAGCUUAAGGCCAUCAAACUGCAAAAAAAAAGGAUUUUAGAUUAAUGAUAUUUUAUUGAAUUUAGUUGCAUUUUUAAUUUGUUUAACUUAUUUGAAACCAUUUGAACAUCUUCAUGUUGCCAAGACACAGUCCCGGCUGGGCUGUUAACCAAAUUUUGUAAGAUGUUUUCCUUUUGGGACCAAGUACUGCUACACAGGGUCGUGCCAAAUACGAUGGCGACAGUUUGGACUCGAAACUAUCCAAUUUUCAAUAGGAAGGGUGCUUGGAGGCGCCGAUUCCUUGGCACGGCCUUUCUGCUCCUCCAAUCAAAGAAGGCUGCAGAUGUUAUUCCCAGACAUAUGCAAAUUCUCUGUCAUAUUUUCAAGCUGCGGAAUAUGCAAAGGGUAUCGUUUCAUGGGUUUCCAUAAAUGGACACAUAUUUAUAUGAUUUACAAGCCGGACCCGGCAAACUUAAUCAGAGUUGUCGGCGCUUAUUUCGUUGAUUGUCCUCCUUCUCCGAUCAUGCAAGAGCCGCCGAUCUCACUAAAGGUAAUUUCCUGCAUGGAUCCAUUUCCUGCAUUUAUGAAAUUUCCACACAUUUUCAACAAGGUAAACAAAGCCAAACGGGCUUCCUGAGAAGUGUAACCGUACGGAAUGCGUUUUUCACCCCUGGUCACACUCUGCUGCUAGCAAAAUAUAUUGCACAGUUUGCCAGCAACCGCGUUUUUCGAUCUGAGUACUAAACCGAUCCUACCGAUUAACAAGCAACAAUGAACACUAGUCAAUCUUGAGCAGAAAUGAUUGGUGAAUGGAACAACAUUAUAGUUUUAGUGCUGAGAGUAGUAACUAGCUGGUAGUAUUUAUCAGAAUAUCAAAAUCUAAACAUUAUUUUAGAUAUAUU